UACGUAGGGUGCAAGCGUUGUCCGGAAUUAUUGGGCGUAAAGAGCUCGUAGGCGGUCUGUCGCGUCGGCUGUGAAAACUUGGGGCUCAACCCCAAGCCUGCAGUCGAUACGGGCAGACUAGAGUCCGGCAGGGGAGACUGGAAUUCCUGGUGUAGCGGUGAAAUGCGCAGAUAUCAGGAGGAACACCGGUGGCGAAGGCGGGUCUCUGGGCCGGAACUGACGCUGAGGAGCGAAAGCCAGGGGAGCAAACGGG
rnacentral:rRNA from 1 species